rnacentral:rRNA from 1 species
UACGGAGGGGCUAGCGUUGUUCGGAAUUACUGGGCGUAAAGCGCGCGUAGGCGGCUUUGUAAGUUAGAGGUGAAAGCCCGGAGCUCAACUCCGGAAUUGCCUUUAAGACUGCAUCGCUAGAAUCAUGGAGAGGUGAGUGGAAUUCCGAGUGUAGAGGUGAAAUUCGUAGAUAUUCGGAAGAACACCAGUGGCGAAGGCGACUCACUGGACUGGUAUUGACGCUGAGGUGCGAAAGCGUGGGGAGCAAACAGG